CUUGUCUACAAAAACCCAGAUAACUGAGAGUCACAGGUCAGGGAACCCAAGCAGGCCUUGUCAGCAAAGCCUCGAGCUGCUUGCCUAACAAUUUCUCAUCAUUUUGAGCCUUAAGCUGAAGACUUUCCUGGAGCCCAGUAACAAAGAGGAGCGGAGUUUGAUUCCCGGCACCCACGCGGC